rnacentral:lncRNA from 1 species
AUUUUUCAUCACUUUUCAGAAAAUCCCUUAUUCUCUUCCACUUUCUCUCUAGCGAAACAAGAUAAAUUUAUUCUUUUUAUCUCAUUCUCUUACAUAUUUAUGCCAAAUACCAAUUAAAAGGGGAAAAACAAGAUUUGCACAAAGAAAUAUAAUCAACACAAUACAGAUAUAAACAUAUGCAAGAUUAAAGUAACACAAUACAAAAAACUACAAAUAUCACCACACAAUGAUCUAUGAAAUUGAAGAUGAACACACAACACGAUCAUGCUAGAGCAAUGUCAUUGUGAUGUUGGGUCUGUACUAUUGCAUCUUGGAGACCGUUGCAUCUGUGUUGUUAAGCUGUUGCGACGGCCGACUGCUGGAUUUAUACUGUUGUGUCGUUAAUGCUGGGACUGUGUUAAUGUUCGCUGCGACGCCUGGAUUCAUUUGGUUGUUGUCCGGACUGCCAACUAUUGGAUUUGUACUGAUGUGUAGCCAACGAUGGAGCUGUGCUGAUGUUCGUUGCGACGCUUGCAUUUAUUUUGUUGCCUUCCGUAGGCCGCUUGCUGUCUUGCUGCUACUGCGACGAUGGAGGCCACCUGGAGUCAAGCUGGUACUGCGAUGCUAGGGCUGCACCACCUAUGACGCUUAGCUAUGGUGUUGUACUCCAACGAUAAAUUUUUUCUUAAAUCAUGUAUUUGAUUUCAACAAUGGAGGAAGAGAAAGGGUAUGGAAGUAGGCGGCGGCGACAGAGAAUAAGAUGAACUAGAAUUUCU